rnacentral:lncRNA from 13 species
CUUUGCUGAGCUUCUCAUGUAGAUAUUCACGAUGAUUUAUCUAUCUACCUACUAAUGGAUGUGUUUGUCUUCUUUCUAGCUUUUGACUAUUAUAAACAUCCAGAACAGUGAUUGCUUGAUCCUAUGAUAAAUGUGUUUAACUUUGGAAGAAACUGCCAAAACCCCUUUUCAAAGUGCCAAAGUUUCUCUACCAUUUUACACUCCCAUCAGAAUUGUAUGUGAGUUUCAGUUGAACUGAAUUUCACAGCAACUGUAUACAGGAAGCUUGUGAUUUCUGCAUAUUGAUUUUGUAUCCUGAGACUUUGCUGAAGUUGCUUAUCUGUUUAAGGAGAUUUGGAACUGAGAUGAUGGAGUCUUCUAAAUAUACAAUCAUGUCAUCUACAAAGAGUUAUUUUAAAUGAAUGUUACAAAUGUUUAUGAAAAACAUACCCAACAUUAUUGAAAUAAAUGCAUAAUUUCACGGAAAAGGAAAAUACUCAGUUUGAUAUGCCUAACAUUGUUCAGAAAGCCACAGUGAGAAUGCUAAAGAGACUGGAUGAAAAGAAGAGAAAUUCUGAACUCUGUGAAGAAAACGUGAAUACCAAAGAAAACCAGGCCAUGUGUUUUAUAUUAAAAUAAAAUUCCAUAUAGAGUAAGAAUUGAAAAACUGAGGUAGGAUUCAGAAUUUAACAAGAUUAUGUUAUUUUUUAAAAUGUUAACAUUACAUAAAUGUGAUGUAUUUACUAAAUUGUACUAAUUUGAGCAUUCUUGUGAAUUUCUAUUUUGUUAUGUUUCCUGGUCUUUAAAAGAAAAUAGAAUUUCUUUUAAAUUCAAAUAUCAAUUUGUCACUGCUUCUUUAUUCACAUUUCCUCAAAUGUUUUGGACAGAUGUCUGAAAUUCUCACAAGAUGCCCCAUGAAUUUAGAUUUGGCUCCCUGAAUCCCCA